rnacentral:rRNA from 1 species
CCUACGGGAGGCAGCAGUGAGGAAUAUUGGUCAAUGGGCGCGAGCCUGAACCAGCCAAGUAGCGUGAAGGAUGACUGCCCUACGGGUUGUAAACUUCUUUUAUAAAGGAAUAAAGUGAGGCACGUGUGCCUUUUGGUAUGUCCUUUAUGAAUAAGGAUCGGCUAACUCGGUGCCAGCAGCCGCGGUAAUACGGAGGAUCCGAGCGUUAUCCGAAUUUAUUGGGUUUAAAGGGAGCGUAGAUGGGUUGUUAAGUCAGUUGUGAAAGUUUGCGGCUCAACCGUAAAAUUGCAAUUGAUACUGGCAGUCUUGAGUACAGAUGCGGUAGGAGGAAUUCGUGGUGUAGCGGUGAAAUGCUUAGAUAUCACGCAGAACUCCGAUUGCGAAGGCAGCUUACUAAACUGCCACUGACAUUGAUGCUCGAAAGUGUGGGUAUCAAACAGGAUUAGAUACCCGGGUAGUC